rnacentral:rRNA from 1 species
UACGUAGGGUGCAAGCGUUAAUCGGAAUUACUGGGCGUAAAGCGUGCGCAGGCGGUUGUGUAAGACAGAUGUGAAAUCCCCGGGCUCAACCUGGGAACUGCAUUUGUGACUGCACGGCUGGAGUGCGGCAGAGGGGGAUGGAAUUCCGCGUGUAGCAGUGAAAUGCGUAGAUAUGCGGAGGAACACCGAUGGCGAAGGCAAUCCCCUGGGCCUGCACUGACGCUCAUGCACGAAAGCGUGGGGAGCGAACAGG